AUGCAAGUCGCGGGGCAGCAUAGGGUUUUAGCAAUAAAAUUCGGAUGGCGACCGGCGCACGGGUGAGUAACACGUAUCCAACCUGCCCUUUACUCGGGGAUAGCCUUGCGAAAGCAAGAUUAAUACCCGAUGGCAUUGUUUUCCCGCAUGGGGAAUCAAUUAAAGGAGCAAUUUGGUAAAGGAUGGGGAUGCGUUCCAUUAGGCAGUAGGCGGGGUAACGGCCCACCUAACCGACGAUGGAUAGGGGUUCUGAGAGGAAGGUCCCCCACAUUGGAACUGAGACACGGUCCAAACUCC
rnacentral:rRNA from 1 species